rnacentral:rRNA from 1 species
UACGAAGGGGGCUAGCGUUGCUCGGAAUCACUGGGCGUAAAGCGCACGUAGGCGGAUCGUUAAGUCAGGGGUGAAAUCCUGGAGCUCAACUCCAGAACUGCCCUUGAUACUGGCGACCUUGAGUUCGGGAGAGGUGAGUGGAACUGCGAGUGUAGAGGUGAAAUUCGUAGAUAUUCGCAAGAACACCAGUGGCGAAGGCGGCUCACUGGCCCGAUACUGACGCUGAGGCACGAAAGCGUGGGGAGCAAACAGGG